GCCGGCGCUGGGCUGGACGUGUUCGCCGACGAGCCGCACGUGCCCGCCGAGUUGGUCGGCCUGGACAACGUGGUGCUGCUGCCGCACGUCGGCA
rnacentral:tRNA from 1 species